GACGUACGCUGGCGGCGUGCUUAACACAUGCAAGUCGAACGGAAAGGCCCUGCUUUUGUGGGGUGCUCGAGUGGCGAACGGGUGAGUAACACGUGAGUAACCUGCCCUUGACUUUGGGAUAACUUCAGGAAACUGGGGCUAAUACCGGAUAGGAGCUCCUGCUGCAUGGUGGGGGUUGGAAAGUUUCGGCGGUUGGGGAUGGACUCGCGGCUUAUCAGCUUGUUGGUGGGGUAGUGGCUUACCAAGGCUUUGACGGGUAGCCGGCCUGAGAGGGUGACCGGCCACAUUGGGACUGAGAUACGGCCCAGACUCCUACGGGAGGCAGCAGUGGGGAAUAUUGCACAAUGGGCGGGAGCCUGAUGCAGCAACGCCGCGUGCGGGAUGACGGCCUUCGGGUUGUAAACCGCUUUCGCCUGUGACGAAGCGUGAGUGACGGUAAUGGGUAAAGAAGCACCGGCUAACUACGUG
rnacentral:rRNA from 1 species